UACGAAGGGGGCUAGCGUUGUUCGGAUUUACUGGGCGUAAAGCGCACGUAGGCGGAUUCUUAAUCAGAGGUGAAAUCCCAAGGCUCAACCUUGGAACUGCCUUUGAUACUGGGGAUCUUGAGUCCGGAAGAGGUGAGUGGAACUGCGAGUGUAGAGGUGAAAUUCGUAGAUAUUCGCAAGAACACCAGUGGCGAAGGCGGCUCACUGGUCCGGUACUGACGCUGAGGUGACG
rnacentral:rRNA from 1 species